UACGUAGGUGACAAGCGUUGUCCGGAUUUACUGGGCGUAAAGAGCUCGUAGGUGGUUUGUCGCGUUGUUCGUGAAAACCGGGGGCUUAACCCUCGGCGUGCGGGCGAUACGGGCAGACUGGAGUACUGCAGGGGAGACUGGAAUUCCUGGUGUAGCGGUGGAAUGCGCAGAUAUCAGGAGGAACACCGGUGGCGAAGGCGGGUCUCUGGGCAGUAACUGACGCUGAGGAGCGAAAGCGUGGGGAGCGAACAGG
rnacentral:rRNA from 1 species